CUUCAUUUCUAGGAAAUCUUGAUACCUUACCCUAACACUCCGAGUAUUCUGUUUCUAGAGUUGAUAACUCGUCGCCGGAAAACCGCUCUUUUUUCGCCGGGAAACCGCCAUCCUCUCACUUUUCCACAGCCAUCAUCUUAGUUUUCCGGUCACAAGGUAAAACUAAUACUCCAUUACAAUAAUUGAUUUUCUUGUUUAUUGAGUUCUUCUUUGCAAUGUGUCAAGCAUAACCCACCUCAAACCCCUGUUCAUCUGCAUCUUCAAACCCCAUUAUCGGUAUGGCUUCACUUUGGUGCAGCAGUUGCACUCGACGUCAGCCGGUUGAGACCACUGCAUUGGGUUUAAUAUGUUGUAUUAUUUGUGGGAAGGUCAUCGAUCAAGUUAUUUAUUCAGACGACGAUGAGCCAAGCUAUGUCAAAAACACAAGAGGAAAAGUAGGGGGUGAUGCUGAAUCUGAGAAUGGAAAAAUUCUUUCCAUUGUGACCCAGGGGGAUGCUGAAAAAAGAAUUUAACGUGCACCAGCAACCAGACAUGAAGAGACAAUCACUGCAGGCGUGCUCGAAAAACCAAUGCCUGUUGGCUCGUUAGCCCUUUAACUGAAAACUUCAGCAAUGUGCAAGUUUGGUUAAUGAUGUAUUAGGAGGUUAAAGCCAUCUCUUUCUAGGGAUUUCUUUAUGACCCAAAUGUGGUUGUAGUGUAAACUCAAGAUCUAUCUCUUUUUCUUUUUCUAUACGCAGUGAUAAAAAUGCUCGGGGUUGUAUCUUUCAUUUUUUCGACACAUAAUAAUCAGUAGCAAUUACGUCUUCCAUUUGAUAACAAACACUCAAUCUGUACUCUAGCAGUCUAGUAGAGUAAUAGUCAAACUCAAUCUCUUUAAGCACGGUAAAUGUGUGAUACUCUGUAUUAUUUUUUUUCUUAAGAUUUUCUUGAUUGAGAUAGCUUUCGCCUUUGCUUUGUAAGAUCACUAACUUUUUGUGCAUAACAUUCAAAUUUUGCCACAUUUUUCUUCCAUUUUGCAAUACAAAACAUCAUGAUCAAUUUAAC